GCCGGGCAUGGUGGUGUGUGCCUGUAAUCCCAGCUACUCGGGAGGCUGAGGCAGGAGGAUCGCUUGAACCCAGGAGGUGGAGGUUGCAGUGAGCUGAGAUCACAGCACUGCACUCUAGUCUGGGUGACAGAGUGAGACUCUGUCUCAA
rnacentral:SRP_RNA from 1 species